GUUUUGUAUCAUCUCUCUCUCUCUCUCUCUCUCUCUCAUUCUCUCAAACGAUUUCUCCAAAACCCUAAUCGGCGAUUCCUCUACUUAGCAACCCUAAUUGGCGAUUCCUUUGCUGACCCUUUCAAUCGAUCCUUUGCGAAGAGGUAUGAAUCUGGUUCGUCAAUCAAAGGGGUAUACUUCUCAUUUGGGAAGAUAAUCGAUUAUCUCGCAGUCAAUCAAGGUAUGUUUGUUUCAAAGAUGAAAAGAAACUGCAGCGAAACAGAUUAAUGGU
rnacentral:lncRNA from 1 species